rnacentral:tRNA from 1 species
ACUUAAUUAUUACAAAAAGUAUAUUAAGCUUCCAACUUAAAGAUUUAUAAAAUAAAUUAAGUA